rfam:Staphylococcus carnosus subsp. carnosus TM300 complete genome
CGAACCAAGUAGAAGCUUCCCGCUUCUCACCUGUAGCGACGCAUCAUAGCUGUUGGCAGGUCCAAUACAACGUGAUAAUCUAAUCAUGUUGACUAAUGGAAAAAGAGCGGGCACUUCUGUGCCCGCUCUUUUUACUUGGG